rnacentral:lncRNA from 1 species
GCUAACAUAACAAAUGAUCCCAAAAUGUUAAUGGCUUAAUACAAUGAAGAUUUUUUUUCUUACUAUGUCACAGUCUGAAUCAGAUGUUCAGCACGUGAUCUUCCACAUGGUAUACUCAAGUGUCAUCAUCCUCUGUGCUCCACUCAAUCCUCUGGAUUGACUCUGCCUGCCACGAUGCUAAGAAAGAGAAAGUAGAGGCUCACACAGGGUUGUUCAUGGACCAGAAAUCCUAUCCUGAAGGAAGGAAAUGGCGGGAGUGGAUAGACCUAAAGAGAGAGAGAGAGAACACAAGCAGGGAUGGUGGGAGAGGAAGAAGCUGGCUCCUCAGUGAGCAAAGAGCCCUAUGGAAUAAGAAGCUUAAUCCCAGGAGCCUGGGAUUGUGACCAGAGCUAAGGACAGACACUUAAGCAAUCGACUGAGCCAUCCAGGCACCCCACAGUUAAUUUUUUUUUAAAUAAGAUAGAAUAAUUUUAGAUAUUUACUAAUAACUAGUUAGUUGUAAAAUGGGAGUUUAUAUAAGGUUUCUAGUAUUGCCUAAAAUUUCAUAACAGUGUAUAGUUUUUCUUUGAAGAACACUGAUCUAUAAGAGACUAAUGCUAGUUUUUAAGUUCAUUGAUUUUCAGUUGCUAAGAAAAAAAGGAUGAUGUUACUUAAACUUGUUUGCCCCCUUCUUAGAUUUUAUUGACAAAAUCUGUAAUGUGUUUUGCAUACUUGAAAAUAAGAUAGGCUGACAGGUGCUUUAGUACUGAAACAUGAAGAAUAGAGUAUGAAAUUUUAUUAUCUUAUUUAUUAGCCUCAUAUUUUGUUUACUUAAAGCAAACAUUUAUUUUCUUAAGUAUGAAGUAAAUUUUUUUUAAAGGAUGGAUUAAGUGAUUAAAACAUGAAUGGACUAAAGCAAAAUUUCCCAAAUUGUGAAACUUUAAAAAAUCAAUCCGUUAUAUUCAUAAAUGUAUACUGGUUUUAGGCAUCACAGUGAAAACAGAGGUAAUUUCUUUUUUGAAGCUUAUUCUUUUGCAGCCAGAAGGUAGAAGAGAAUGUUUUGGAAGAUGUUCAACAUUUAAUUACCUAAAAUCUGAUUUUUGCUAAGCAAUGUCAAUACUUUUCACCAAUUGAAUUAAAAUGCUUAUUUUAUAUUGUAUAGUACACAGAACAUUUCAGAACUAAUAAAAAAUGUAAAUGAAGGAAAGAAAAUGGCUAA